UCUCUAGACAACAGCCUGCCUUUUCCCUGGUACAAGAGGGAAGCACAGUGUCUCUGUUCUGUGCUACUGAAAAUUUGUUCCCUCAUCAAAACAAGCAGCUUGUGCCUGACACCUGGCCUACACCAGGAAGGUCUUUGUGCCAUUUGUAGUCCAUGUUUGAGAGAGGACCCAGGCUGGUAUAGGGGAAGGUCAAGAGAAGACAGUAGAUUCAAAGGAUCUGUUUUCUUUACCACUCAUCAGACUGAAAAUAACGCCUGGGAGAAGCCUGAGGCUGGAGUGGAUUCUUCAAAGAAAAGGCAUGGAGCAUGUCCUCUGAGGGGAAAAUUUGCCCCUACUUUUUUGGUGCAUCUUUCUUCCUCUCCCCAACCCUACCUUUUCAGAGUGGAGCAUCUGCCAGCUCAAAGGUUGUUCCUUAAAAUACACUGCUACAGAUAAGUAUGGAUAAAUCUUAAACAAGAACAUUUUUCUUGAAUGACAUUCACAGGCCAGAAAGCAGUGCUCCUUAAUGGAAAUCUAAUUGAAGAUUGGUAUAAUUGUUGGCUGAGAGGAAGGAGGGCACAACCCUUCACAAUAAAGACCUCAGUUACCUGACCUUACAAGCUACCACUGAAAAUUAUAAGCUUUUUUUUCAGCUAGGCAGUCUAAAAACCCUUCAGAUCAGAUCGAACAAAGUGAACAAAUAUAUACAUACUUGGAAUAGGAAUGCAAGUUGGAUAUUCUAAUUUCUCUGGAGGUAGGUAGGCAAAUUUUAAUACUACAUCAGUUCACCUUAGACCAAAUCCUGAGCUCCAGUGUCUACUUAGGUAACAGCUGUGCACUUACUUAUG